rnacentral:rRNA from 1 species
AUUGAACGCUGGCGGCAGGCUUAACACAUGCAAGUCGAACGAGUGGCGGACGGGUGAGUAAUGUCUGGGAAACUGCCUGAUGGAGGGGGAUAACUACUGGAAACGGUAGCUAAUACCGCAUACCAUCGGAUGUGCCCAGAUGGGAUUAGCUAGUGGGUGGGGUAAAGGCUCACCAAGGCGACGAUCCCUAGCUGGUCUGAGAGGAUGACCAGCCACACUGGAACUGAGACACGGCCCAGACUCCUACGGGAGGCAGCAGUGGGGAAUAUUGCGCAAGGGGGGCAAGCCUGAUGCAGCCAUGCCGCGUGUAUGAAGAAGGCCUUCGGGUUGUAAAGUACUUUCAGUGAGGAGGCGUUACCCGCAGAAGAAGCACCGGCUAACUCCGUGCCAGCAGCCGCGGUAAUAC